UACGUAGGGGGCAAGCGUUGUCCGGAUUUAUUGGGCGUAAAGAGCGUGUAGGCGGCCUGACAGGUCUGCUGUGAAAACUCGAGGCUCAACCUCGAGAUGUCGGCGGAAACCGUCUGGCUAGAGUCCGGAAGAGGAGAGUGGAAUUCCUGGUGUAGCGGUGAAAUGCAUUGAGAUCGGAAAGAACACCAACGGCGAAAGCACUCUGCUGGGCCGACACUGACACUGAGAGACGAAAGCUAGGGGAGCAAAUGGG
rnacentral:rRNA from 1 species